rnacentral:lncRNA from 1 species
AAGUGAGGAGCUCAGCUCUGAAGCUGUAACCAAGACCGCGCGGGCAGGAGGAAAGGACACUUCAGCGCUCUGCGGUUGCAAACACACCCCUGCGGGUGCUGCCACUUAGCAAAGUCUUAGGUUCCCGCUUACUCGCACACGCAUCCUGACUUCCCCCAACCCUGGAACUACCUACCAGGAGCGGAGACCAGCAGACCGACAGCACGCACAUGAUCCCCAUAAGCUGAAUGGCCGUCUCGGUCGUGAUGCGGCCCCACUGGGCACUGGACUGAGAUGCCGUGGCCUUGGCCCGGCAGCGGGACACCAGGGCCUUAAUGGUGGCCAGGUUGCAGGAAAAGGUGACUGUCAGCGCCAAGAGCCCCAGGAAGGCAAAGGCAGAGGCGAAGAAAAGGUUGCCCCAGUUAUGCGAAGAGCUAGUCCCGUUGCCCCCUCGCCCGGUGCUGAUGAAGCACCACGUCCCGGGCCACUGGACGGUGUACUGGCCCACGCCCAGCACCGGCAGCAGGGCGAAGGCGAGCACGGCCAGCCACACGCCGAGCAGCACAGCGCGGGUGGCACGCGUCUUCAUGUGGCUCGCAUACCAGUGCGGCGCCCUGAUGGCCAGCGCCCGCUCGACGGCCAUGGCGCUGGCGAUGAACAACGAGGAGAGCCCGAAAACAGUCAUGGUCAGCCCGAAAAAGGUGCAGAGCCGCCCCGACGGGUCGAUGUGCUCCCAACGCUGCUUGGACAGGUACACGACGAUGACGACCGGGGUGGUGAGAAGCUGCCCGACCAGGUCGGUGAGCGCCAGCCAGCCGAUGCACAGCAGGAAGGACUUCUUGCGCUUGCUCUCCCGGCGCCGGUAGCUGCGCGACACGAGCAGCAUGGCCAGUGCGUUGCCCACGAAACCAGUGAGCAGCAUGGUGAUCGGGAAGGCCACGGACACCGAUCCGCAAUCCUCGCCAGACCCUGGAGGGCGCGUGAGGUUGCCCCGCGCCUCGGCGGAACGCUCGGGCGCCCACAUGCCUGUGUAGGAGUGGUUGAGGCGGGUGCAGAAGGGGGCAUCCCCUCCGUAGCCCCGGGUCUCCUUCAUGUUGGCUUCGAGAAAUCCUCCAAGGUACUAUUGCUAUUAUUAUUUCCCUUAAAGGUGGGGUAACUGAGGCCCCAUGAAGUUAAAGAAUGUUCCUGAAGUCUCUCAGCAAUUCUCAAGUCCCAUCUUAUUUGAAGCAUGUAUUCCUGACAUGGGUCCCAUAACUGCUCUCAGCAGAUGAAUAUUAACGAAACCCAAACCUUUCGGGUGACCGUGAUCUUGUUCGUCUUUUUUUGCGAUCACCAGAUGAAGAAGAUCUAGAACGACUUCUCUUUCUGUUCCUCUCAGGAGAAGAUGAUGAACUUGAAUAAGAUCUUUUUCGUGGGGAAGAAGAGCCCCUGUGGGACCUGGAGCUGGAUCUUCAUUGAUUGAGAAACAAAUCAAACAUUUCAUUAAAAGAAGAAAUAAGGAAGAUUAUUUAGUUAUCAGAUAGCUCCAAAAAUAAACAGGAUUUAUAACAACUAUGAAAAUUUUAUAAGGAAGAAUACUUACUGCUUAUUCAACAGAAGACUUCUGGAUCAACCAUGAAAACAUUCUACUUAAACAUUUUAAUUUUGUCUCUUUAAAAUUCUAUCAUGUGUAAUUAAAACCCUGCUUACUAUAUCAAAA